UUCUUUCCUUUUCUCUUUCUUUUUUGACUUUACUUCGCUAUCAGCGUGUCGUUUCAACUCACUCCCAUGCUCGAAUAACUUCCCAAACAACUUUGUAAUAUCCAAAGUACUAAGAUCAUUUGCUUCUUUUAUUACGAUGAGUUUUGGUUUCAACUCCCUACACAUGGGUCUCAAUAUUUUGUUAGUACAAUCUUUGUUGGAAAAUGUUUUACCUAAGUCUCACAUUUUAUUGAUCAAAUAGAGGAAUCUAGUUU
rnacentral:lncRNA from 1 species